UACGUAGGGUGCGAGCGUUAAUCGGAAUUACUGGGCGUAAAGCGUGCGCAGGCGGUUUUGUAAGCCAGAUGUGAAAUCCCCGGGCUUAACCUGGGAAUGGCAUUUGGGACUGCAAGGCUGGAGUGUGGCAGAGGAGACUGGAAUUCCCGGUGUAGCAGUGAAAUGCGUAGAUAUCGGGAGGAAUACCGAUGGCGAAGGCAGGUCUCUGGGCUGACACUGACGCUCAUGCACGAAAGCGUGGGGAGCAAACAGGA
rnacentral:rRNA from 1 species